rnacentral:rRNA from 1 species
AACGAACGCUGGCGGCGCGCCUAAUACAUGCAAGUCGAGCGAGAAGACGUAGCAAUACGUUUGUAAAGCGGCGAACGGGUGAGGAAUACAUGGGUAACCUACCCUCGAGUGGGGAAGUAACUAGCCGAAAGGUUAGCUAAUACCGCGUACGCUCCUUGGACUUCGGUUCAGGGAGGAAAGACGAUACCGUGGGUAUCGCGCUCUUGGAUGGGCUCAUGUCCUAUCAGCUUGUUGGUGAGGCAACGGCUCACCAAGGCUUCGACGGGUAGCUGGUCUGAGAGGACGAUCAGCCACACUGGCACUGCGACACGGGCCAGACUCCUACGGGAGGCAGCAGUAAGGAAUAUUGCGCAAUGGGCGAAAGCCUGACGCAGCGACGCCGCGUGGGGGAGUGAAGGU